rnacentral:sRNA from 4 species
UGUCUUUGCUCGGGCGUUUCCUCCCUAGACUUGGCCGCUUGUCACGAGCAAGCGGCCGUUCUUUUCUGUGCA